GAGCAGUGUUCUAUCUUUCAGCGCUGUUUCCGAUGCUGGUAGCGUGAGACCUGAAUCCAACGGAAUGUGAAGAACUGAUGACUAAGUUUUCCAAAGCCCUUCUUUUUUUAAAAAUUUUUUUUGCAAGUGUAGGAAUGAGGAAAUGAAGGAAGGUUACUGUUGUAAGGUAGGGCGUAAGAAGCACCCAGUUUUCCUCAAUAUGGAAUUCACAUUUCGUACACUCUGGCCAAAAGCAUCUUAGGAGAAGAAAGAGUUUAUGGGUCACAGUCCAUCACUGAAGUAAACCAGGAUAGGACAAGAAAUUAAAGCAGAAACCUUGGAGGAACACUGUUUUCUGGCUCAUUCACAGGCUUUUGCUUGGCUAGCUUUUCUAUACAGCUCAAGCCCACCUGCCCAGGAAAUGGUACCACACAAAGUGGGCUGGACCAGCAUGCCAAUUAAGGCAGUCAAGAUAAUACCCACAGGCCAAUCUGGUCAAGCAAUAGAAACCCCAAGACAGGAAUUGUUCCAGAGAUCCAUAAAUGAGCAAUGUGCAGAGAGUGGGAGAUUUUGGAGCACUCAGCCCUAAAUGAAAUAUCAUCCUCAAACUCAAAGAACUGUGCAGAAGAGGAGGCAGAAGGGUUUAAAAGCCUUAACUUUUGGUGCUUAACUCCAAGGAAACAGUAUCAUCCAGAUAUAUAUGAACUCAGACACCAUGAUAGCACACUGCAAGACCUGUAGCUGUUCAAACUAGGUAUAAUCCCAGUAUGGAGAAGAGAAGGCAGGCACAAAGUCCCACCCCUAGCCAAGAAGAUAUUUGUAACAGAUACCUGCUGGGAAAGGGAAAAGCCGUUUUCUCCAAUGAAGAGUCAGUAG
rnacentral:lncRNA from 1 species